GUGGUCUCACAAUUUAUAGCUUUAUUUAAUCUACAUAAAAAUAAACAGUUCAAGUCACACCCUAAAAGCACAGUGGUUACAAAUUUAGCUCCUUUACAAAUCAUGUUCAGGCGAAUGAAACCAGAAUCGAAGAUGGUCACUGCACACGAGUCUGAGGUGUUCUCCCACUGCACGCAGGAUAGGAGGACCGGUGUGGUGCCAAAGUAGUUUUCAGAGACCAUGCAGAGCCAGUGCAGAGGAUAGAACGAGCAGAAUGCUUCAAAGUGAGCGUCGCCUUUAGACAAGUUUUCCCACCCAGCACUGAAAAUGUAAUUCCAAAACGCGUUUUUGGUGGUUUUUGAGUGGGUGGGUGGAUUGAGAGAUUAAUGUAUUUAGACUAAGCCAGCAUUGGAUCCACAGUGCAACCUGUGCUGCUUUUGUGUCCAGCGCGGUCAGUCCACUCGGUCAGGACCUGUGGAGGAGAAGAGCGGUCAGAGCCAGCGGGGGGAGCAGCAGCAUGAAGGCGGCGGUAGUCCUACAACCAGCCCCCGUGGAACUCGGGGUGGUGAUGUUUGUGUUGUCCGGAUUCGUGCCGUUAUUCGCCAGGGCCACCUGAAACACAUUUGUAUUUAAUUAAGAUGAUUCAGUCCGGGUGAUUUCAUUUUUAAACCAGAAUUUAACGUGCGAGGGAGAAAGUUAAUCACAAUUCAGCGUCUGGAGUCAUUUCGUUUCCAUUUUAAUUUGGAAAAAAAAUUUAAGAUAAGAGCUUUAAAGCCUCUGUUGAAGACCUAGCCCGACUCUUCUAGAAGUUUGGCAUUGUAUCCUUAUUGCCGCCGUCUGUUCUGCAGGGGACAAACUGAUUUUUAUAUUCAUGACUUUAACCCUAAACAUACGAGAUCAUAGAUGCACUCCCAGCACAACGUUUUAAGCUCCCUAAUUGAACAUUUAGCUCAUCUGCGCCAUUACAGCGUUUCAUGCGUAAACAAAUUCCGUUGGCCAUAGCUGAUUCCCACCAUACCCCAAAAGGUUAGUGAAAGUAUGAAGAAACAAAAAAGAAAAAAAGAGGUAAGGAUCAAACUGACCUGUGAUGUGAGAUGGAAAGCCAGCAGCAAAACUCCGACGACUGCGACGCACAGUUUCU
ensembl:lncRNA